rnacentral:rRNA from 1 species
CCCUUAGAUGUUCUGGGCUGCACGCGCGCUACACUGAUGCGAUCAACAAGUUUUUCCUAUGUCGAUAGACACGGGUAAUCUUUUGAACUCGCAUCGUGAUGGGGAUAGAUUAUUGUAAUUAUUAAUCUUCAACGAGGAAUUCCUAGUAGGUGCAAAUCAUCAGUUUGCAUCGAUUACGUCCCUGCCCUUUGUACACACCGCCCGUCGCUGCUACCGAUUGGUUGAUCUGGUGAAUUAUUCGGACUGCCGGCUGAAGGGGUUUCCUCAUCUGCCAGCGGAAGGUCUUGUUAACCCUAUCAACUAGAGGAAGCAGAAGUCGUAACA